AUAACCGACGAGGAUCAAGGUGUAGUAUCUAUUCUUAUCAGCUUAAUAUCUUGUACGGGUUUUAGGGUUCUAUUUGGACCUAAGAUCCCAGACUCAUUUCUGUAAGUUGGCGGAGGGCUUAAAGCCAGUGUUACCUCCGCCGCGGGUCCGCACGGUACUUUACUAUCUUCGGUAUCGCCCCCCCCCUC